rnacentral:rRNA from 1 species
UACGGGGGGAGCAAGCGUUGUUCGGAUUUACUGGGCGUAAAGGGCGCGUAGGCGGCCACUGCAAGUCAGUUGUGAAAUCUCCGGGCUUAACUCGGAAAGGUCAACUGAUACUGCAGGGCUAGAGUGCAGAAGGGGCAACUGGAAUUCUCGGUGUAGCGGUGAAAUGCGUAGAUAUCGAGAGGAACACCUGCGGCGAAGGCGGGUAGCUGGGCCGACACUGACGCUGAUGCGCGAAAGCCAGGGGAGCGAACGGG